GAGUCUAGUGGUUAGAAUGUCCACCUCGGAUGCGGGAGGUCGCGGGUUCGAACUCCGGCUGAGUCA